rnacentral:rRNA from 1 species
GACGAACGCUGGCGGCGUGCUUAACACAUGCAAGUCGAGCGGUAAGGCCCUUUCGGGGGUACACGAGCGGCGAACGGGUGAGUAACACGUGGGUGACCUGCCCUCAGCUCUGGGAUAAGCCUGGGAAACCGGGUCUAAUACCGGAUAUGACCACGAGAGUGAAAGCUCUUGAGGUGAAAGGUGGCCUCUGCUUGCAAGCUACCGCUUGAGGAUGAGCCUGCGCGCCAUAGCUAGUUGGCGGGGUAACGGCCCACCAAGGCAAUGAUGGCUAGCUGGUCUGAGAGGAUGACCAGCCACACUGGGACUGACACACGGCCCAGACUCCUACGG